AAUAGAUACCCGGGUAGUCCACGCCGUAAACGAUGAAUGCUAGGUGUUAGGGGUUUCGAUACCCUUGGUGCCGAAGUUAACACAUUAAGCAUUCCGCCUGGGGAGUACGGUCGCAAGACUGAAACUCAAAGGAAUUGACGGGGACCCGCACAAGCAGUGGAGUAUGUGGUUUAAUUCGAAGCAACGCGAAGAACCUUACCAGGUCUUGACAUCCCUCUGACCGUCCUAGAGAUAGGGCUUUCCUUCGGGACAGAGGAGACAGGUGGUGCAUGGUUGUCGUCAGCUCGUGUCGUGAGAUGUUGGGUUAAGUCCCGCAACGAGCGCAACCCUUGAUCUUAGUUGCCAGCACCUCGGGUGGGCACUCUAGGAUGACUGCCGGUGACAAACCGGAGGAAGGUGGGGAUGGACGUCAAAUCAUCAUGCCCCCUUAUGACCUGGGCUACACACGUACUACAAUGGCCGAUACAACGGGAAGCGAAACCGCGAGGUGGAGCGAAUCCUAUCAAAGUCGGUCUCAGUUCGGAUUGCGAGGCUGCAACUCG
rnacentral:rRNA from 1 species